UACGAGGGGGGCGAGCGUUGUUCGGAAUUAUUGGGCGUAAAGAGCUCGUAGGCGGUUUGGCAAGUCGGGUGUGAAAACUCCGGGCUCAACUCGGAGACGCCACUCGAUACUGCCAUGACUCGAGUCCGGUAGGGGAGUGCGGAAUUCCUGGUGUAGCGGUGAAAUGCGCAGAUAUCAGGAGGAACACCGGUGGCGAAGGCGGCACUCUGGGCCGGUACUGACGCUGAGGAGCGAAAGCGUGGGGAGCGAACAGG
rnacentral:rRNA from 1 species